AUGCUUAACACAUGCAAGUCGAACGAGAAAGUGGAGCAAUCCAUGAGUACAGUGGCGACCGGGUGAGUAACACGUGACUAACCUACCCUUGAGUGGGGGAUAACCCCGGGAAACCGGGGCUAAUACCGCAUAACAUCGCAAGAUCAAAGGAGCAAUUCGCUUGAGGAGGGGGUCGCGGCUGAUUAGCUAGUUGGUAGGGUAAUGGCCUACCAAGGCGAUGAUCGGUAGCCGGCCUGAGAGGGCGCACGGCCACACUGGAACUGAAACACGGUCCAGACUCCUACGGGAGGCAGCAGUGGGGAAUUUUGCGCAAUGGGGGAAACCCUGACGCAGCAACGCCGCGUGGAGGAUGAAGUCCCUUGGGACGUAAACUCCUUUCGACCCGGAAGAUCCUGACGGUACGGGUGGAAGAAGCACCGGCUAACUUCGUGCCAGCAGCCGCGGUAAUACGAGGGGUGCGAGCGUUGUUCGGAAUUAUUGGGCGUAAAGGGCGCGUAGGCGGUGCGGUAAGUCACCUGUGAAAUCUCCCGGCUCAACUGGGAGCUUGCAGGCGUAACUGCCGUGCUGGAGUGUGGGAGAGGUGCGUGGAAUUCCCGGUGUAGCGGUGAAAUGCGUAGAUAUCGGAAGGAACACCAGUGG
rnacentral:rRNA from 1 species